rnacentral:sRNA from 1 species
UUUCAGAAUCAAAUAUGGCUAGAUGUCAUGUGUAUGAUUGAGUAUAAGAACUAGAACCGCAACUAAUUCCCAAAAGCUAUAUUAAUGUUUCCUUGUUAGAAGAUACAAAGCUAAAAACUCAUACGGACUUCGGCUAAGCCAUUAAUGUUUUGAGAAGCAAUAAGAAGCUUGGUUAUUUUUUUGGAGUCAAAUAUGACUAGAUGUCAUGUGUAUGAUUGAGUAUAAGAACUAGAACCGCAACCGAUUCCCAAAAGCUAAAGUAAUGUUUCCUUGUUUGAAGAUACAAAGUCAAAGACUCAUACGGACUUCGGCUACACCAUCAAAACUUUGUGAGGCAAUAAGAAGCGUCGUUAGUUUUUGGGAGU